rnacentral:lncRNA from 1 species
CAGAUACCAUGGCCCAAUACUGCACACCCCACCCGACCCCAUCCACCCCACCCAUCUCACCUCAUCCCAUCCCAACUCACCUCACCCUAUCCCACAUGCCCUCAGAGUUUAUAAGGGGAAGACUAAUGUGUUUUCCAGGAACCCAUAGAAUACUUUUCCCUCCACCCCCGCAGAUCCUGAGCUGCAUGCAGAUGGGACAGGGCUGGGUGGAGAGACUGCUGGAUACCUACUUUAAACCUGCAUGGGGAUGUGCCGAUUCCUAAAAGAUCCUGAGCUGCAUGCAGAUGGGACAGAGCUGAGUGGAGAGACUGCUGGAUACCUACUUUAAACCUGCAUGGAGAUGUGCCCUGAUUCCUAAAAGGUGCGAGUGUUGCAGACACGCGUCAGCUGGACACCUUUAUUGCUUUGAGAACAGGUGGAAGGCACACUCCAUGGCUUCCAGCCCGCUCUCCCAGCCUUGGCGCUCUGGCUUCCUGAUGUCGUGAAGGCAGAUGCGGCCACCGCGCAGGUUGUGCAGCCUCAUCAGCUCCUGGGCGUGCUCCCUUUUCUCCUGCGACUGGCGCAGGAAGUAGCGGUCAAAGUGCUCCAGGGCCGAGUCGUCCUCCUCAAAGUAGGAGGCCAUGGACAGGUACACGUAGGAGGCGUGGAGCUCCAAGGUGAUGUGGGUGUUGACGGCGGCCUCACAGCUGGGGUGGUGGUACCGUUGCACCUGCGACAGCGGGUCCAGGGCGGGCAGCGCGGGCGCGGGGAGCAAGAGGGGAAAAGCGGUGGGGUCGCCAGGGGCCCGGAGCGUGUAGCGGUAUCGGCAUGGGCAGUGGCGGCGGCGGCGGGGGCCUCGGAGCACCACCAUGGUGGACGACGGCGGCGGCUGGCGGAGGGCGGGGUCCUCCAAGCCAGGCGGUGGUGUGGUCGGGGGCUCGGCGGAGGGGCCCGAAGUGGGCGGUGG